rnacentral:snoRNA from 1 species
AAUCAGUGAUGUGGGCACUUUCUGAUUGCCUCCUUGAAUCUCUUCCACGCCUCAUAAAGUGAUUCACCACUGAACUUGGUGAAGUUAGUGAUUUCGUUCCUCAAUCU